rnacentral:ncRNA from 17 species
GUAUGCUUGCGCCAUGAACCGCUUCCUGUCCGCCCUCCGACGCCGCUCGCCGCUCCUCAUGGAUGCCGCAGGCUCGUCACGGACGCACGCGUAACCCCCUCCUCGUUACGCCAAGCUGUUCGGACCACCAAGCCACGGCAUUCCGUGGCUUUUUU